GAUGAACGCUGGCGGCGUGCCUAAUACAUGCAAGUCGAGCGAACAGACGAGGAGCUUGCUCCCCUGAGGUUAGCGGGGGACGGGAGAGUAAUACGUGGAUAAUAUACCUAUAAGACUGGGAUAACUACGGGAAACCGGAGACAAUACCGGAUAAUAUAUUGAACGGCUUGGUCCACUAGUGAAUGACGGUUUUGCUGUCUAAUAUAGAUGCAUCCGGGCCGCAUUAGCUAGUUGGUAAGGUAACGGCUUACCAAGGCAACGAUGCGUAGCCGACAUGAGAGGGUGAUCGGCCACACGGGAACUGAGACACGGUCCAGACACCUACGGGAGGCAGCAGUAGGGAAUCUUCCGCAAAGGGCGAAAGCCUGACAGAGCAACGCCGCGUGAGUGAUGAAGGUCUUCGGAUCGUAAAACUCUGUUAUUAGGAAAGAACAAAUGUGUAUGUAACUAUGCACGUCUUGACGGUACCUAAUCAGAAAGCCACGGCUAACUACGUG
rnacentral:rRNA from 1 species